CCUGAGAAGGACAAACACAAGAGCAUCAUAGGUUUAAUACAGAAUUAAUAUUUUAAAGAAGAAAAUACCAGCUAAUAAGUGGAGGGGCUAUUGGUGGAAACUGGGGUUGUAACUGACACAACUUAAGAGUAUUUAUCCGUGUACGCCAUGAUACCAAGUACCUUUACAGUUCUUUAGGUUGGGUUUCAAUGAAUAUACAAUGAACUACUUAUUAGAAUCUGAAAUGUAUUGCUUAUAAAAUGAGUGAUAUGAGUGUAGUUAGCAACAACAGCUACAUGUUUGGCCUGAUAGCUAAGGAUUAGCUAAAAAAAAUAGUAAUAGUAAUGCAUUUAAGGUGAGUGGAAUGAAGGUUAAAAUUAGCCAAAUAUGAUGAAGGCUUGUACCAUGUAUGUAUAUAAUCCAGACCAUAGCUUAAAGCCAUGGUCAGCAAUUAAGUAAAUAAGUAAUAAGGUGAAAGUGACAAAGAUCGAAGUAAACCAGUUUUUUUAAUUAAACUUUUUUUUUCAAGAGAAUUAAUAAAAACCACAGUAAACAGUCUUUGUUCUUUUCUGUCCAGUGACUGUGCUGUAAAAGCACUAGCAUAAAAGCUGUUUGAGUGCUCUAACCUAGAAUAAAUGGAAGUCCUCACAACCUAAAUAACAAUGUCUGCCUGUCUCUCUGCUGGAAUAUUUUUUGCAGAAUUUCCCGAAAAUCCAAUUUGGCACGAAAACAUCCUGUGGAAGAUGGAAACACCGGAUCCUGUGUGUGCACGGCUGUUUAUCAUUCAACACAAGUGGUCUCACUACGACACAUUUAUACUGUACAUCCAUCACACAAUGCCAUGUUUACUCAGCCGCAAACACUGGCAGUCUGUGAUGUCAGACAGGGAGGAGGAGGCUGCAGCCAAUCACCAAGAAGAAACCCUCCUCUGGACUGGACUGUUCUCUUCGCUCCAAAAUGUAUUUGAAGGGGCCCAGACCCAUCCAUCCCAAGAUGCAAUCUGAGACGGUCACCUCCCACGACCACAGAAGCAGUGGGCCUCUGAAGAAUAAGGACCCCGGGCAGAACACACCAGCAGUGAAGUGUGCAGGUUCAAGAGACACACACCUGAUGAGUGGAAUGUUGUCCAGGGUGCAGCAGAACACAGGACCCCUCUGCUGUGGAAGCCGCUCUUCACACGACUCAUUAGCUUCUACAAAUAAUUACACUCUGUUAAAUGCACCAGCUUGGAAGGAGCUUCUCUCCAUAAAUAAAUCCAAUUGCCUCAGUGGUGGCCUUUGUAACUGUCAACUGGCGGAGACUUUACUCCAGAUGCCCUUCCUGAUGAGCUUAUCCUGGGUUGGGAGACUGGGUGGAACCAAACUCUGAACCUUCUGCAAGGCAGAUGAUGAUUUCACCGACGUCGGGGGUUCGAGCAACCGCGAUGAUGACGUCACACGGACAGUGAAAGAGUCUUCGCGGUGAAAUGCCUUCUUCCAAAACGUAAGUUACAGAAUAAUUGUCAUUAAAAUACAAAAAACAAACCAAUAUUAACUCCGUGACACAGGUCAAUGCUAACUUUUUCAGUCAUUCAUAGUAGGCUAGGUCUCCCCAGGGUAACUGACUAACACUAAUGCCAGGCUAAUGCGUGCUAGCCAUUCGUUGCUAAUUAGCAGAUUCGAUCAGAGAUCCGUGGACACAAUCUAAGCUGCCAAUGGUUUCAAUUAUUUAAUAGUGGAUGGCAGGUGUUAUAAAAAUAUAAUAAUUCAAUAUUAAUAAAAAUGUUGGUAAUAUUUGCAAUUUGGUAAUUUAUCUUGGUUUGCCAAAAUAACAGGUGAAAAGUGAUGCAAUACACAUUGUGUGUGCACAUAUUCCAGCUUCCAUAUUGGAAAAGCAGCUCCAAUUUCCUUUUUGAUGUGUGAUUGACUGCUAAAUGAGAUUGUUAUUAAGUUGUUAAAAAUACAGUACAAAUAAAGUACUUCCCAUUUUUAUUUUGCAUACACACAAUCUCACACAAUCUCAUUCAAUAAAACAGCUUAGAGACCCAAGCAUCUCUUAAAUUCAAGUUUAUUAGUCUUAAAUUCAGCCAGUCAGCUUUUAACAUCAUUAGCAGAGACUAAUAUUUCUCUAUUUUUUACACAUCAGAUCAUGGCCAAAACAGUUUUGUAUUAAUCCAGAGGCUUCAGAAAAAAACAAGUCAGUUUGAAAGACAGUACCUAGGGAAAAUUGAUGCAAAAACUAAAACAUAAAAACCUGUUAUAAUCAUGAAUCUGGUAUCUUUCACACACUUGAAGCAGAAUGCAGGACUGGCAAGUGACAUGAUAUAGUAGUUGACAUUCCAUCAGUGACAAAAU